CCAUUCGAAUCAUUCGUCUGCCAAGUGUAAAGCAGUCAACAAUACUCGGACUUGAUUUCGUCAAAAUUUGCAGUGAAAAAUGUGUUAAAAAAACUAAAACUUCUUAUCCAGAUCCCAUAAUGCACAGAUGUUAGCGAUGUGGUCCCUUUACGGGACCUUCACACACGGAGGACGGCCAAUGGCCAAGGUCAUUGGUCUAAGGAGCACUGAUGAACUUAUAACAAAAUACCAUCUGUAUUAAGUGGUUUUCACUUUGUGGUUUUCAUUUCUUCAAUUAGUCGAGUCACCUUUAUGUUCACGGCUUAACUUCAAUGCGGACGGUACCGGGCCCAGGAUGAUUGGGUCUGCAGCUUUGCGUCCAUUAUUUCCUAAGACGUUACGAAACUAGAUUUAGGGAUACGAUAUGUACUUUUAAGAAAACACUGCGGCAGAAAUAAAUUCAGCAUUUGGUGUCAUUUUCUAUUACACAAUUUGUCACACAAACCAUUAAGCUAGUCGAUUACCAACAUGAAAUAAAGCAUAAGCUAGUCGAUUACCAACAUGAAAUAAAGCAUUCUUUCUUCAA